rnacentral:rRNA from 1 species
UACGUAGGCAGCGAGCGUUGUUCGGAGUUACUGGGCGUAAAGAGUGCGUAGGCGGUUUUCUAAGUUUGGUGUGAAAUCUCCCGGCUUAACUGGGAGGGUGCGCCGAAGACUGGAAGGCUUGAAUAUGGGAGAGGUAAGCGGAAUUCCUGGUGUAGCGGUGAAAUGCGUAGAUAUCAGGAGGAACACCUGCGGUGUAGACGGCUUACUGGACCAUCACUGACGCUGAGGCACGAAAAGCGUGGGGGAGCAAAACAGG